UUGGAGUUUAUAAGCACCUGGAAAGGGG
rnacentral:piRNA from 1 species